rnacentral:rRNA from 1 species
AACGAACGCUGGUGGCGUGCUUAACACAUGCAAGUCGAACGAGAAAGUUUCCUUCGGGAAAUUAGUAAAGUGGCGCAAGGGUGAGUAUCACGUGAAUAAUCUGCCCUCGAGAUCGGGAUAACAUGGUGAAAACUAUGCUAAUACCGGAUAAGACCACAUUUCAUAAGAAAUGCGGUAAAAGGAGUCUCAAUCUUCACUCGAGGAUGAGUUCGCGCAACAUUAGCUUGUUGGUGAGAUAAAAGCUCACCAAGGCUACGAUGUUUAGCCGGUCUGAGAGGAUGAUCAGCCACAUCGGGACUGAGACACGGCCCGAACUCCUACGGGAGGCAGCAGUAGGGAAUCUUGCGCAAUGGGCGAAAGCCUGACGCAGCCACGCCGCGUGAGGGAUG